ACGGCGGACGGGUGAGUAACACGUGGAUAACCUACCUAUAAGACUGGGAUAACUUCGGGAAACCGGAGCUAAUACCGGAUAAUAUAUUGAACCGCAUGGUUCAAUAGUGAAAGACGGUUUUGCUGUCACUUAUAGAUGGAUCCGCGCCGCAUUAGCUAGUUGGUAAGGUAACGGCUUACCAAGGCGACGAUGCGUAGCCGACCUGAGAGGGUGAUCGGCCACACUGGAACUGAGACACGGUCCAGACUCCUACGGGAGGCAGCAGUAGGGAAUCUUCCGCAAUGGGCGAAAGCCUGACGGAGCAACGCCGCGUGAGUGAUGAAGGUCUUCGGAUCGUAAAACUCUGUUAUUAGGGAAGAACAAAUGUGUAAGUAACUAUGCACGUCUUGACGGUACCUAAUCAGAAAGCCACGGCUAACUACGUGCCAGCAGCCGCGGUAAUACGUAGGUGGCAAGCGUUAUCCGGAAUUAUUGGGCGUAAAGCGCGCGUAGGCGGUUUUUUAAGUCUGAUGUGAAAGCCCACGGCUAAACCGUGGAGGGUCAUUGGAAACUGGAAAACUUGAGUGCAGAAGAGGAAAGUGGAAUUCCAUGUGUAGCGGUGAAAUGCGCAGAGAUAUGGAGGAACACCAGUGGCGAAGGCGACUUUCUGGUCUGUAACUGACGCUGAUGUGCGAAAGCGUGGGGAUCAAACAGGAUUAGAUACCCUGGUAGUCCACGCCGUAAACGAUGAGUGCUAAGUGUUAGGGG
rnacentral:rRNA from 1 species